AAGCCCANGUGGUAGAAUGCGCCAAAAUGCAAAUUUGGAGACGCACCCUAACAGGUGCCGGGGCUUCUCCCGUCUUACGCAAAACGGGAGAAGC
rnacentral:tRNA from 1 species